UAGCCUAGCGGUUAAGGCUAUGGAUCGCCAAUCCGGAAACGGCGGGUUCGAUUCCCGU
rnacentral:tRNA from 1 species